UAAAUGUACGGAGGAGUCAAUAAACACAGAGUUUUGACCGGUAUCUGCAAGAUAUGCAGCAUUUAUCACCGUCACCUCGCCUCAGUUCCUCCAUUCUAUGCAGUCUAGCUCAAACACCAGACCAGGAUCUGUGAAAAGCUUGAAGUCAUGGCAGUGGGUUUGGACACGUUAUCCUUUCGUGACAGCUUGGAGAUCGUGCAACUCCGACCUAACGUAAUACGCCAAAAGUAUUGCAGAAAGAGGAGCUCCAAAGAUUUUUUCCAUCCACUGAUGAACUACGAGCAGCAGAUGGAGCUUCAAAUGAGGAAUAAUGGGAGCAAAAAUGGACUUCCAGCAAACAGGUAUCCCUUUCAUCCUCUCGUGUGGACGAUCAGCAGGACAUCCAGCGCUCUCAAGUGUUGCCAUCUGUCAACGUGACUGUUGGUCAUGCUCCUGCCUGUGGAGAUUCAAAUCCACCUCCUUUCCACCUUUUCUCCAUAACAACAAUGGUCACCCCAUCUCAAAUCCAGCUCUGCAAGAUGGUCAUUCGCUGGCAGAUCACUCUUGAAUGUCCUCAGUUUGCCUCUCAAGAGACAGAUAUCCAAGUCACCUCAACAGGUGUCUUUUACUGCAUUGCAACAGCUGUUCAAACAUUUCUGGAGGAAUCCCCUACUCAUCCAGAAUGCAAAGCUCUCAAAAAGAUGUAAAUAUUAAAAAAAAAAAGACUGC